rnacentral:rRNA from 1 species
GUAAUGUAUGGGGAUCUGCCUGAUGGCGGGGGAUAACUACUGGAAACGGUAGCUAAUACCGCAUAAUGUCUGCGGACCAAAGCGGGGGACCUCCGGGCCUCGCGCCAUCAGAUGAACCCAUAUGGGAUUAGCUUGUAGGUAAGGUAACGGCUUACCUGGGCGACGAUCCCUAGCUGGUCUGAGAGGAUGAUCAGCCACACUGGGACUGAGACACGGCCCAG